GGUGGCGUGCUGCUCAGCCCCAUGCUGCUGUACGCGCUGCUGGCGCUGCUGCUGACCGGCGUGCUGCGCCUGGGCCUGCAGCGCGCCGGCCUGGCGCGCUGGAUCUGGCACGAAGCGCUGUUCGAUUGUGCCCUG
rnacentral:sRNA from 2 species